GGAAGGAUCAUUAUUGAAUAAACUUGAGCAGGCUGUUGCUGGCCCCUUUGGGGGGGUAUCGUGCACGCUUGUCAUCUUUAUCUCUCCCACUGUGCACAUAUUGUAGUCCCUGGAGUUGUAAUUGUUCAUAUUGAUAGAUUGAGGACUGCUUUCAAAGCUUUUCCUUGCUUCUCCAGGUCUAUGUCAUUUUUUCACAAUCUCUAAACUAGAAUGUUGAAUUGGGUCUUUGUACCUAUAAAGUUUAAAUAUACAACUUUCAGCAACGGAUCUCUUGGCUCUCGCAUCGAUGAAGAACGCAGCGAAAUGCGAUAAGUAAUGUGAAUUGCAGAAUUCAGUGAAUCAUCGAAUCUUUGAACGCAUCUUGCGCUCCUUGGUAUUCCGAGGAGCAUGCCUGUUUGAGUGUCAUUAAGUUCUCAACUGCACCAGUUCUUAACCACUGGUGUGGCUUGGAUAGUGGGGGAUUGUGUUUGCAGGCUUUAAAUUCAAAGUCUGCUCCCCUGAAAUGCAUCAGUAGUAUCUGAGCAGAACUACUACAGGCGUGAUAAUUAUCUAUGCCUUGGUGGACUUGCAUGAACAGAUUACACUGCUUCUAACAAGUGAAAACCCUCAAAAGUUUCACCUUUGACAAAUUUGACCUCAAAUCAGGUAGGACUACCCGCUGAACUUAAGCAUAUCAAUAAGCGGAGGAA
rnacentral:rRNA from 1 species